rnacentral:rRNA from 1 species
UACAGAGGUCCCAAGCGUUGUUCGGAUUCACUGGGCGUAAAGGGUGCGUAGGUGGUAGGGUAAGUUUGAGGUGAAAGCUCCGGGCUUAACCCGGAAAUGGCCUUAAAUACUAUUCCGCUCGAGGGUUGGCGGGGAGACUGGAAUUCUCGGUGUAGCAGUGAAAUGCGUAGAUAUCGAGAGGAACACCAGUGGCGAAGGCGAGUCUCUAGACAACACCUGACACUGAGGCACGAAAGCCAGGGGAGCAAACGGG